GAUGUACGCUAGCGGCAGGCUUAAUACAUGCAAGUCGAGGGGCAGCACAGGUAGCAAUACUGGGUGGCGACCGGCAAACGGGUGCGGAACACGUACACAACCUUCCUUAAGGUGUGGGAUAGCCCAGAGAAAUUUGGAUUAAUACCACAUAGCAUAUUGGGUUGGCAUCAGCCUGAUAUUAAAGAUUUAUUGCCUUAAGAUGGGUGUGCGUAUGAUUAGGUAGUUGGUUGGGGUAACGGCCCACCAAGCCAUCGAUCAUUAACUGGUGUGAGAGCACGACCAGUCACACGGGCACUGAGACACGGGCCCGACUCCUACGGGAGGCAGCAGUAAGGAAUAUUGGUCAAUGGACGAAAGUCUGAACCAGCCAUGCCGCGUGAAGGAUGAAGGUCCUCUGGAUUGUAAACUUCUUUUAUAGGGGGCGAAAAAAGGGAAUUUUUUCCCGUCUGACGGUACCCUAUGAAUAAGCACCGGCUAACUCCGUGCCAGCAGCCGCGGUAAAAC
rnacentral:rRNA from 1 species